UUACGGUUAUGAGCUAUAUUAUUGUGUUUUUAUAGUCAUUAAUUCAUAGUUCGUCCCUGCGUAAGAUCAUUAAUACACUUGGGGGAGGCACUAUGGUAAAUUUGGCGGGGUCAGCGCGUCGACGGUUCUUUCCUGGAAUAUUCGUGUAUUUAAAAUGUCCUUCAGCUUUACGGUAAUGAGCUAUAUUAUUGUAUUUUUAUAGUCAUUAAUUUAUAGUUCGUCCCUGCGUAAGAUCAUUAAUAAGCGUGUUUGAGAUACUAAGCUUGGCGGGGAAGCGAGCCUUGGCGCCAUUCCCGGGCCGACCUCCAUUCCGAGCAGACGCACGGCAAGACGCUCCUUACGAUGGCGCCAAAUAUUCACGAUUAUAACGCCGCAGCCCGGUUAUUAGGCAAUAGCACUACUUAAUUAAGUUGCCCUGACACAACAUGUAAGGGGCAGAAACAGAAGAUUACACCACCCAAUACCUACCACGACAUGCUACUGCACACAAUACUAGCACAGCCAUACCAAGAAAACAAGGUGGACAUUUUAGAACUAUUGUUAUGUAAAGAAGCAAUAAGACUGUGAAGUCAAGAAAGACCUGAUCAGAAGAAUGGGGAAGAAGAAAAGAAAACUGACCUCCUUUACAAUACACAGGUUACUGGACCCCUCCCUUUUACACAGACUACUACUACUACUGCUACUACUACUACUACUACUACCAUAUUGCAGCUUUAAUCAAGAAACUUGAAACAUGCAUAAACAGAAGGAAGGAAAUUAAAUAUAUGCAAGAAUUUUGGAAGAAUCGCUUAAAAUCUGAGAAGAGACGGCAGCACUCAACCAGGCACAAGAAAAUCAAGAAGUGGAGGCUCCGAACUGCACUGAACUGAACUGUAAACUUUAUCAGAAGGGAGGAUAUUAAAUAUACUCAAGACUUUUAGAAGAAUCGCUUAAAAAUCAGAGAAGAGAAGGCAGCACAACCAAGCACAAGAAGACCAUUUAGAGGGGCAAAGGCAACCCUCCGAACAGAACUGGAAACAAACAGAAGGGAGGAAAUUAAAUAUACUCAAGACUUUUAGAAGAAUCGCUAAAAAUUGGAGAAGAAAAGGCAGCACAACCAAGCACAAGAAGACCAUUUAGAGGGGCAAAGGCAACCCUCCGAACAGAACUGGAAACAAACAGAAGGGAGGAAAUUAAAUAUACUCAAGACUUUUAGAAGAAUCGCUUAAAAUUGAAGAAGAAAAGGCAGCACAACCAGGCACAAGAAGACCAUUUAGAGGGGCCGCUGCAAAGGCACUCCCUCCGAACUACACUGCACUGAACUGACCUGGUUACGGCGCCUGUACAAGUGACCCGGGAUGGAGUAUUGGCGGCAGGGCAGCUCUACGAAAGCUGCUGUGGGAGUGCUGCCCUCCACAGCAAGCAAGGGGCUGCCCUGCCCAGACCACAGCAAGAGGAGGAAGAGCUCUGCAUUACUAAGUUAAGUACCUCACUAUGACAUUCUGAGGGUUUGGCUUCAUUUUUGCCUUCUAUUAAAAACUUUUUACUUUCUAACGAACCUUAAUCUUUUCUCAGCCUGCCUCCUCCUCCUCCUCCUCCUUCAACUUCCUUUACCUCCUUGUGUGAAUCUGUCCGUCCCGAGAUCCGGCGAGACCAUCCCGACGUCGUAACACCCGUUUGGGAGUGGGGGGACUCAUGAAGCUGGGGGCGGCAGCCCUAAGGUGGGGAGGGUUGCGCCGACACCUCCACUCCGUUUCGGCGGAAUGUGGCUGGCUAGGGUGGCCUGAACCACUGUCUGGGUUGUUUGUCGUUCAGUCGGAUUGAGGAUCUGCCUCCCUUGAGGUGCACAUGUCAUAGUGGUGGCAGAAGAGAGAGUGAGUGAAGCUGAUGUCAUCCCGACGUCGUAACACCGUUGGGCGGGGCGGGGCUCUCAUGUCAAGUCUCCCCGCGGUGCACAUGUCACAGAGGUGCAAACAGCAUGGCCUUCUUUCCUAUCUUUUCCCCCUCCUCCUCCUCCACCCCCUCCCCUGCACACCUCCUGCUGUUAUAUCGUCACCCUCAUAAAGUAAUUGCCUAAGUCAUUUUUCAGUGAUUUCCAUUUUUGUUAAGUUGUCUUAGAUAUUCAGGGUUUGAGUGUUCUAGAAUUGCCUUUUUAUUUCUGCCUAAAUCUUAAGCCAAAUGAGAUGAUGACGUUCUCUUCAUUAAAAAUAGAAAAUAACGACUUGGGCGGUUUCUUUACGAAGGUGGCGAGAUUGUAAUAGGUUUUGCACCCUCUAUUUAGGGAUGUGCACUAAUUUUUGUCUCUUCUCUUCCCCUCCUCCUCCCCUGGCUGGCCGGGGAACGGAGGAGGAGCACUAGGACGAGGAGGUGAAGGGAGGCGGAGGGAGAGACGACUCGAGCACAGGGAGGCAAGAGACAAGAAGCAGAGACGCAGGAACAGAAAGCUGCUGUGGGAGUGCUGCCCUCCACAGCAAGCAAGGGGCUGCCCUGCCCAGACCACAGCAAGAGGAGGAAGAGCU